rnacentral:rRNA from 1 species
AGAGGGUGCAAACGUUGUUCGGAAUUACUGGGCGUAAAGCGCGUGUAGGCGGCUAUGCAAGUCGGAUGUGAAAGCCCUCGGCUCAACCGGGGAAGUGCACCCGAAACUGCAAAGCUAGAGUCUCGGAGAGGAUCGUGGAAUUCUCGGUGUAGAGGUGAAAUUCGUAGAUAUCGAGAGGAACACCGGUGGCGAAGGCGGCGAUCUGGACGAUGACUGACGCUGAGACGCGAAAGCGUGGGGAGCAAACAGGAUUAGAUACCCUGGUAGUCCACGCCGUAAACGAUGGGUGCUAGGUGUCGCGGGCUUUGACCCCUGCGGUGCCGCAGCUAACGCAUUAAGCACCCCGCCUGGGAAGUACGGCCGCAAGGCUAAA